rnacentral:rRNA from 1 species
GAUGAACGCUGGCGGCGCGCUUAACACAUGCAAGUCGAACGAAAAGACCAGGUUCUUGUUGUUCAGUCCGUAUCCUCGAACGGCGAAGGAACACGUGACACACCUGCCUUUUAGCCUGAACUUACUUCUGGAAACCGGAGCCUAUAUCUGAUUAUCGAUUGGACCGCAUGGUUGAAUAGGUAAUGGCGAUUGUGCUUUUAGUUAUUGGUGGUGACGCGCCGCCUUAGCUAGUUGGUAAGGUAACGGCUUACCAAGGCAACGAUGGGUAGCCGACCUGAGGGGGUGAGCGGCCACACUGACACUGAGACACGGUCCAGACUCCUACGGGAGGCAGCAGUAGGGAAGCUUCAGCAUGGAGCGAGAGCCUGACGGAGAAACGGCGCGGGAGUGAUGAAGGUCUCCGGAUCGUAAAUCUCUGCUACUAGGGAAGAACAAGUGUGUAAGUAACUAUGCACGUCUUGACGGUACCUGUUCAGGAAGCCACGGCUAACUACGUG